AGUCGAGGGGUAGAGUUAGCUUGCUAACUUGAGACCGGCGCACGGGUGCGUAACGCGUAUGCAAUCUACCUUUUACAGAGGGAUAGCCCAGAGAAAUUUGGAUUAAUACCUCAUAGUAUAAUGAACUGGCAUCAGCUUAUUAUUAAAGUCACAACGGUAAAAGAUGAGCAUGCGUCCCAUUAGCUUGUUGGUAAGGUAACGGCUUACCAAGGCAACGAUGGGUAGGGGUCCUGAGAGGGAGAUCCCCCACACUGGUACUGAGACACGGACCAGACUCCUACGGGAGGCAGCAGUGAGGAAUAUUGGUCAAUGGACGCAAGUCUGAACCAGCCGUGCCGCGUGCAGGAUGAAGCAUCUAUGGUGUGUAAACUGCUUUUGUACGAGAAGAAACACUCCUUCGUGAAGGAGCUUGACGGUAUCGUAAGAAUAAGGACCGGCUAACUCCGUGCCAGCAGCCGCGGUAAUACGGAGGGUCCAAGCGUUAUCCGGAAUCAUUGGGUUUAAAGGGUCCGUAGGCGGGUUUAUAAGUCAGUGGUGAAAGCCCAUCGCUCAACGAUGGAACGGCCAUUGAUACUGUAGAUCUUGAAUUAUUAGGAAGUAACUAGAAUAUGUAGUGUAGCGGUGAAAUGCUUAGAGAUUACACGGAAUACCAAUUGCGAAGGCAGGUUACUACUAAUGGAUUGACGCUGAUGGACGAAAGCGUGNGUAGCGAACAGGAUUAGAUACCCUGGUAGUCCACGCCGUANACGAUGGAUACUAGCUGUUCGGAGCAAUCUGAGUGGCUAAGCGAAAGUGAUAAGUAUCCCACCUGGGGAGUACGUUCGCAAGAAUGAAACUCAAAGGAAUUGACGGGGGCCCGCACAAGCGGUGGAGCAUGUGGUUUAUUCGAUGAUACGCGAGGAACCUUACCAGGCUUUAAUGUAGAUUGACGGACUGGAACAGUUUUU
rnacentral:rRNA from 1 species